UACGGGGGGGGCAAGCGUUGUUCGGAAUUACUGGGCGUAAAGGGUGUGUAGGCGGCCAACUAAGUCGGAUGUGAAAUCCCCAGGCUUAACCUGGGAACUGCAUCCGAUACUGGAUGGCUUGAAUCCGGGAGAGGGAUGCAGAAUUCCAGGUGUAGCGGUGAAAUGCGUAGAUAUCUGGAGGAAUACCGGUGGCGAAGGCGGCAUCCUGGACCGGCAUUGACGCUGAGUGAGCGAAAGCUAGGGGAGCAAACGGG
rnacentral:rRNA from 1 species